GACGAACGCUGGCGGCGUGCCUAAUACAUGCAAGUCGAACGCUUCUUUCCUCCCGAGUGCUUGCACUCAAUUGGAAAGAGGAGUGGCGGACGGGUGAGUAACACGUGGGUAACCUACCCAUCAGAGGGGGAUAACACUUGGAAACAGGUGCUAAUACCGCAUAACAGUUUAUGCCGCAUGGCAUAAGAGUGAAAGGCGCUUUCGGGUGUCGCUGAUGGAUGAACCCGCGGUGCAUUAGCUAGUUGGUGAGGUAACGGCUCACCAAGGCCACGAUGCAUAGCCGACCUGAGAGGGUGAUCGGCCACACUGGGACUGAGACACGGCCCAGACUCCUACGGGAGGCAGCAGUAGGGAAUCUUCGGCAAUGGACGAAAGUCUGACCGAGCAACGCCGCGUGAGUGAAGAAGGUUUUCGGAUCGUAAAACUCUGUUGUUAGAGAAGAACAAGGACGUUAGUAACUGAACGUCCCCUGACGGUAUCUAACCAGAAAGCCACGGCUAACUACGUG
rnacentral:rRNA from 1 species